CUCGUAGGCGGCCAACUAAGUCAUACGUGAAACCCCUCGGCUUAACCGGGGAACUGCGUCUGAUACUGGAUGGCUUGAGAUUGGGAGAGGGAUGCGGAAUUCCAGGUGUAGCGGUGAAAUGCGUAGAUAUCUGGAGGAACACCGGUGGCGAAGGCGGCAUCCUGGACCAACACUGACGCUGAGGAGCGAAAGCCAGGGAGCAAACG
rnacentral:rRNA from 1 species